rnacentral:rRNA from 1 species
GGACAACCUGCCCUGAGGACUGGAAUAAUCCCGGGAAACUGGGAGUAAUUCCAGAUAUGCCAGGGAACCUGGAAUGGUUUCUGGCAGAAAUGCUCCGGCGCCUCAGGAUGGGUCUGCGGCCUAUCAGGGUAGUAGUGGGUGUAACGUACCCACUAGCCUACGACGGGUACGGGUUGUGAGAGCAAGAGCCCGGAGAUGGAUUCUGAGACAUGAAUCCAGGCCCUACGGGGUGCAGCAGGCGCGAAAACUUUACAAUGCGGGCAACCGCGAUAAGGGGACCUCGAGUGCUGGGUUACAAACCUGGCUGUUGGGCUGCCUAAAAAGCAGUCUAUAGCAAGGGCCGGGCAAGACCGGUGCCAGCCGCCGCGGUAACACCGGCGGCUCGAGUGGUAACCGCUGUUAUUGGGUCUAAAGGGUCUGUAGCCUGCCGGCUAAGUCUCUUGGGAAAUCUGGCAUCUCAAGUGUCAGGCUGCCAGGGGAUACUGGUCAGCUUGGGACCGGGAGAGGUGAGAGGUACCUCAGGGGUAGGGGUGAAAUCUUGUAAUCCUUGAGGGACCACCAGUGGCGAAGGCGUCUCACCAGAACGGAUCCGACGGCAAGGGACGAAAGCUAGGGGCACGAACCGGAUUAGAUACCCGGGUAGUCCUAGCCGUAAACGAUACUCGCUAGGUGUCGGCCACGGUGCGACCGUGGUCGGUGCCGUAGGGAAGCCGUGAAGCGAGCCACCUGGGAAGUACGGCCGCAAGGCUGAAACU